rnacentral:rRNA from 1 species
AUUGAACGCUGGCGGCAUGCUUUACACAUGCAAGUCGAACGGUAACAGGCCGCAAGGUGCUGACGAGUGGCGAACGGGUGAGUAAUGCAUCGGAACAUGCCCAGUCGUGGGGGAUAACGCAGCGAAAGCUGUGCUAAUACCGCAUACGAUCGAUGGAUGAAAGCGGGGGACCGUAAGGCCUCGCGCGAUUGGAGCGGCCGAUGUCAGAUUAGGUAGUUGGUGGGGUAAAGGCCUACCAAGCCAACGAUCUGUAGCUGGUCUGAGAGGACGACCAGCCACACUGGGACUGAGACACGGCCCAGACUCCUACGGGAGGCAGCAGUGGGGAAUUUUGGACAAUGGGCGCAAGCCUGAUCCAGCAAUGCCGCGUGCAGGAAGAAGGCCUUCGGGUUGUAAACUGCUUUUGUACGGAACGAAACGGUCUGGGUUAAUACCCCGGGCUAAUGACGGUACCGUAAGAAUAAGCACCGGCUAACUACGUGCCAGCAGCCGCAGUAACAC